rnacentral:ncRNA from 2 species
UUAAGGUGUGCGGGACAACUUCAUCCGUGCCCGAUCGGGGGAAGCCGGUGGAAAUCCGGCGCUGACCCGCAACCGUGAGGACGGCCCGUCCACGCCACGCCGGCGCGGAGCGGCCGUACGAGCCGGAACACCCGAGGGGCACGACCAAGGCUC